rnacentral:sRNA from 1 species
GCCGCGGCUAGGGUAGCUCCCGAAAAGACCGUCCGCACGGUCCUGCCGCGUCUUCCCUAACCUUGG